AGCACAACAGGAUGCCUGAGAGACUCAAGCAGCCAUACCUCUGAAGGGGGGUAGACUGGAUCCCUGGGAAGCAGCAAACCAGGUGCCUAGAGACUAACAUUCUUGAACUCAGAGAGCUAACAAUUCAGCAGAUACAUGAAUUUUCAACAUGAAGAAUGGAAGCCCGAAGGCAAUGGAAAAAUAGUCCUCAAGUUUUGAAAAAAUAUAUUCUCCAAGAAUGAAGAUAAAAUGAAAGGAAUUCACACCAGAAGAAAUAUUACAGCAUGUUCUUCUUGCAGAUAGAAAAGGAUGCAGGUCAAAGCUUAGAAAGGCACGAAGGAGUAAUGGGCAAGACAAAGGUAGACAGAGAGCUCCUAGACCUUAAGGAUCAUGAACUAUAACCUGGAGAAUUUAUUUAUCUGAAGAAGCAUCAAAUAAAAGACUCUUUACAGCCUAGGUGGAAAGGACCACACCAGGACGAGAAGAAGAUGGCAUCUGCUGUAGACAGCUGUCCCAAGACUCCAGACCAGGUUUUGGAAUACUAUCAUACUUAAAGAAAGCGAUUGACUUGGAACAGACUGGUCUUGAAGGCCAGUGAUUUAUCAAGUGGCUCCAAAUGGAACUCAAUGGUUAUGUGGAACAAACCUCUGUCCUUGGCUGCCGCCUGGAUGGCUAAAACACUACACCUGAGCUUCCUUUAAAAGCAGGAAAGGAUUCACAUUGAGCUAAUACCUGUUGCCAACCUCCCUCUCUUUAAGGCCAGAUGGGCUCAUUCAGUGUUCCACUGGUAUGGCCACCAAGCGGCUAUAUUUUCUCUUUCUUUGGGGCUAAAAGAUGUCAUUAUCACAUGUAGAAGCCCUGACUAAAUUUAAUGAAGACCUUAAUGCUAGUCAAGCAGGAAUAGCCUUACUAAAUACUGAAAUGUCUUUAAUGAAAGAGACUAUCCUUCAAAACAGAAUGGCUUUAGAUAUUUUAACUGCAUUCCAAGGUGGUACAUAUGCACGCACUCAAACCAAAGGCUGUGCUUUAAUAUGUGAUGAAUCUUCCAAUGUGUCAUCCCUGCUAAAGCACACGAAGAAACAGGUGGAUGCCUUAUGCAAGCCCACACCCAGUCUUGAUUUGUUUGGUUGGCUCCCUUCCAGUAUUGGUUCCCUUUUUUGAUCCAGAUUGCAAUUCUUAUUUCUAUUACUUCUUGGAAUUCUUGUACUAGUCACAGUAUUCAAACUAGUUGUUUUCUUUACUCGGUGUUGUAAGACUGGCACACAAGCUAGAGUAAUGGUUACUUGGUGACUUGAGAUGGUGGAGCGAUCUUAUAACCCUGAACAAAUUUCCUUUUCUGAUAAGGACUAUGCCUAAGAAUUCAUUUUAGACUAAUCUUUUCAAAUAUAUGUUGAAUUAUUAUUAUUUUUACUGUACUAUUUCUGUGAUCAUAUACAAUGUAAACAUGAAGAGUCAUAGAAAAGCACAUGUACAAUGUUUGUGCAACAAUUUAAAAUUAAUUGAAAAUAUACAACCUAUGAAAUGCUUCCUCUAUUAAAAUAUAUACCACUGUGCUCGUCCACUAUAUCUGACUGUUCCUCCCCAAAGUGGACAACUGGGCAAAUAAAUGAGAUAAAAGCAUAGCACCGAGGGACAUGAUGGACCCAGGGCAGGCGGCAGCCACACUGGCCAUGAGGGACAAUAUUUUGAUCAUCAAUGCUUUCUAUCAAAAGCUUAUAGAUCAAAAGGAGAAAAAUGACAAACAAAUGGCAGGAAAUAGGAUAUAUUGGAGUAUAUGAGGAAGCCAUUUGGUGUUAACCUAAUUCCUACCUACCUUGUUUUUCCAAAAGGGAUUGAUGGGGCUGUUGAGCAUGCGUUGUAUAUCUGCUUUAAGUAUUUGCUAUGUCCCAUAGACAAGAACAAAUGGCCUUAAGAUAAAGGUGCAACUUCCCCCCACAUUGGCAUUUCCUUAAGGAUAAGCCUCUUUCCUUAGGCUAGGAACUGAUUGCUGUGCUCCCCUGUGACCACCCAGCUCCAGAAAACAGACCUGCUACCUGCUGUGUCCAUCAAUCGUUGUGCCGACAGAGCAGUCUCAUGACUAUUGUAAAAGGGACAUUUCAAUAAUAUGUGAAACAUCUCUUUGAGGGUAUAUAACCACUCUGUACACCUUACUUCUUUUCUGCCCUUCCUUCCUUGAGGAAGGAAGGCCCUGGGCUAAACUAGUCCUCAGAUCUGGCUCAUAUUAAACUCAGCCCAAUUUUCAUUUAUAUACUGGUUAUGGGUUAUUUCGUAGACAGUGAUUUAUGAUGAGAAAUAUAUAUUUGGUCUUUAUCCUUUUCCUAGCACAGAGCUCCUAAAACCCUUGGAGUUUCCAAAAUAAUCAGUACCAUAAAGGUGUCUGUGUUCCGUUAACGAGGUGACUUUUGGAAAGCCCAUUUUGCACCUAAGGAUGGGGCUGGUCGCCAGAGAAACCAACCCCUGAGUACAGGGUUGGAGCUUUCAAU
ensembl:lncRNA